UACAGAGGUCCCAAGCGUUGUUCGGAUUCAUUGGGCGUAAAGGGUGCGUAGGUGGCGCCAUAAGUCAGGUGUGAAAUUUCGGAGCUUAACUCCGAAACUGCAUUUGAUACUGUGGUGCUUGAGGACUGGAGAGGAGACUGGAAUUUACGGUGUAGCAGUGAAAUGCGUAGAGAUCGUAAGGAAGACCAGUGGCGAAGGCGGGUCUCUGGACAGUUCCUGACACUGAGGCACGGAGGCCAGGGGAGCAAACGGG
rnacentral:rRNA from 1 species